CCUACGGGGGGCAGCAGUGGGGAAUAUUGCACAAUGGGCGCAAGCCUGAUGCAGCCAUGCCGCGUGUGUGAAGAAGGCCUUCGGGUUGUAAAGCACUUUCAGCGGGGAGGAAGGCGGUGAGGUUAAUAACCUCAUCGAUUGACGUUACCCGCAGAAGAAGCAACGGCUAACUCCGUGCCAGCAGCCGCGGUAAUACGGAGGGUGCAAGCGUUAAUCGGAAUUACUGGGCGUAAAGCGCACGCAGGCGGUCUGUCAAGUCGGAUGUGAAAUCCCCGGGCUCAACCUGGGAACUGCAUUCGAAACUGGCAGGCUAGAGUCUUGUAGAGGGGGGUAGAAUUCCAGGUGUAGCGGUGAAAUGCGUAGAGAUCUGGAGGAAUACCGGUGGCGAAGGCGGCCCCCUGGACAAAGACUGACGCUCAGGUGCGAAAGCGUGGGGAGCAAACAGGAUUAGAUACCCGGGUAGUC
rnacentral:rRNA from 1 species